ACGCUCUUAGUUCAGUUGGUAGAACGUAGGUUUCCAAAACCUAAUGUCGAAGGUUCAAGUCCUUCAGAGUGUG
rnacentral:tRNA from 1 species